GACGAACGCUGGCGGCGUGCCUAAUACAUGCAAGUCGAGCGAGACUCUUCGGAGUCUAGCGGCGGACGGGUGAGUAACACGUGGGCAACCUGCCUGUAAGACUGGGAUAACACCGGGAAACCGGUGCUAAUACCGGAUAAUCCUUUUCCUCUCAUGAGGAAAAGCUGAAAGUCGGUUUCGGCUGACACUUACAGAUGGGCCCGCGGCGCAUUAGCUAGUUGGUGGGGUAAUGGCUCACCAAGGCGACGAUGCGUAGCCGACCUGAGAGGGUGAUCGGCCACACUGGGACUGAGACACGGCCCAGACUCCUACGGGAGGCAGCAGUAGGGAAUCUUCCACAAUGGACGAAAGUCUGAUGGAGCAACGCCGCGUGAGCGAUGAAGGCCUUCGGGUCGUAAAGCUCUGUUGUCAGGGAAGAACAAGUACCGGAGUAACUGCCGGUACCUUGACGGUACCUGACCAGAAAGCCACGGCUAACUACGUGCCAGCAGCCGCCGUAAAAC
rnacentral:rRNA from 1 species